GAUGAAGAACCUAGCGAAAUGCGAUAAGUAGUGUGAAUUGCAGAAUUCAGUGAAUCAUCGAAUCUUUGAACGCACAUUGCGCCCUCUGGUAUUCCGGAGGGCAUGCCUGUUCGAGCGUCAUUAAAACUACUCAAGCUAAGGUUUUUUUUACCUUCUGCUUGGUCUUGGGUUUGAGGAUUCAAAAUCCUCUCUCCGAAAUCCAGUGGCGAAUUGUUUGAGCUGUAGACGUAGUAAAUCAUUCUACCCGUUGCAAGCGAGAAUAAUAUUCAGCCAUAACCCCCAUACUUUUCUAGUUUGACCUCGGAUCAGGUAGGGAUACCCGCUGAACUUAAGCAUAUCAAUAAGCGGAGGA
rnacentral:misc_RNA from 1 species